rnacentral:rRNA from 1 species
UACGAAGGGGGCUAGCGUUGCUCGGAAUCACUGGGCGUAAAGCGCACGUAGGCGGCUUUCUAAGUCAGGGGUGAAAUCCUGGAGCUCAACUCCAGAACUGCCUUUGAUACUGGAGAGCUUGAGUCCGGGAGAGGUGAGUGGAACUCCGAGUGUAGAGGUGAAAUUCGUAGAUAUUCGGAAGAACACCAGUGGCGAAGGCGGCUCACUGGCCCGGUACUGACGCUGAGACGCGAAAGCGGUGGGGGAGCGAACAGG